UACGUAGGGUGCAAGCGUUAAUCGGAAUUACUGGGCGUAAAGCGUGCGCAGGCGGUUAUGCAAGACAGAUGUGAAAUCCCCGGGCUCAACCUGGGAACUGCAUUUGUGACUGCAUGGCUAGAGUACGGUAGAGGGGGAUGGAAUUCCGCGUGUAGCAGUGAAAUGCGUAGAUAUGCGGAGGAACACCGAUGGCGAAGGCAAUCCCCUGGACCUGUACUGACGCUCAUGCACGAAAGUGUGGGGAGCAAACAGG
rnacentral:rRNA from 1 species